AUUUUACUUUCCAAAAUUGCCCUUCUGUUUCAUUCAGCCGCGUUUAAAACCCUAAUUUCAUAUCCUACUCUUCUCUAUCUGGACCUCGCUGCGCUCCGCUCUCUCAUCCAUCGCAAGAAUGAGUCGAUCUAGCAGAACUCUCUAUGUUGGCAAUCUCCCCGGGGACGUUCGUGAGCGUGAAGUGGAGGAUAUUUUUUACAAGUAUGGACCAAUUGUGCAUAUUGAUCUUAAAAUCCCCCCAAGGCCUCCCGGCUAUGCUUUUGUUGAGUUUGAAGAGUCUCGGGAUGCUGAAGAUGCCAUACGAGGGCGUGAUGGCUAUGAUUUCGAUGGGCAUCGCUUAAGGGUUGAGCUAGCACAUGGCGGGCGCGGAAACUCAUCAUCGACUGAUCGUCGUACUGAAAGUCGUGGUCCCCGUGGAGGAGUUUCUCGGCGCUCAGACUACAGAGUUUUAGUCACCAGCUUGCCUCAUUCUGCUUCAUGGCAAGAUCUUAAGGAUCAUAUGCGUCGAGCUGGAGAUGUCUGCUUCUCACAAGUUUUCCACGAGGGUAGUGGAAAGACGGGGAUAGUAGACUACACAAAUUCUGAUGACAUGAAAUAUGCUAUCAAGAAGCUCGAUGGUUCUGAGUUUCGGAAUGCCUUCUCACGGGCUAGAGUACAUGUCAAGGAAUAUGAUUCCAGCCGCAGCCGCAGUCGCAGUCGUAGUCGCAGCCCGCCUUACUCAAAAGGCAGGAGCAAUGGUCGAAGCAAGAGCAAAAGUCCAAGUGUUAGCCGAAGCAGGAGCAGAAGCAAGUCGCCUAAAGGGAAAUCAUCACGCCGCUCAAGGUCUCGGUCAAGAUCUGUAUCUCGCUCUCGUUCUGGAUCAAAAGCGCACUCUUUGUCAAGAUAUGGAUAUAUGCUCGAUCUGGGGAUUGCAUAUUAGGAUCUUGUUGGGUAAAUUGGUUCAGUUGGCUACAACUCUUUUGGGGUUGGAGAUUGGGAACAUGAAGAUCAUGGAUUACUAUGGUGAAGCUGGAUAUUGGACUAAUUGAAUAAGAGAACACCUUUUUGCAGUGGAAACGUUUAAACUGUCUGGUGCUAAGCUAUCAACUCAUUCUAUCCGAAUGUAUAUUGAUUCUUUUGGUAUCUUUGCUAAUCACAUGUUCCAGUGCCAAGGCCGUUUCUUCUUUGAUAGGUUACUUGCUUGUGUGAAAUUAAUAUUUUCAUUUUUGUUUUUCUUCUCAUGUGUAUCCUAAAUGUUUGUGAGUUUCCUCUUGCCCAAUAUGGUCACGGUCACUAUGAUGUGGAAGUGGCAACAAGGCUCUUGGAUCAAAGUUUUAAAGAGGGACUAGUGGAUAUUAAAUUGGGUUGUUUCUGGACCUUUUGCAGAUCUCCUUCAAGAUCCAGAUCCCCGAAACCAGCUAAACAUACGAGUGCGAGUCCAAAAAAACGUGGUUUAAGCAGAAGCCUUAGCCGUAGCAAGAGCCCAAGCCAGAGCCGAAGCAGGAGCCAUUCCAGGUGAAUCAGUAAUUUGAUGGGGAAUUAAUGCUGCAGUGCUUGGCUAGUUAAUCCUGCACUAGAAUUUGCAGUAAAUCAAGAGAAACUACAAUGUGUUAUGACUGAUGGUCAAAUUUCUAAAUUUCUCGUGUUGUCUGAAGAAAAUUUUCUGUUUCUGCAAGACCUAUGAACCAAUGUUAUUUUUUUUUGCAAGUUGUAGCUAUAUCGUCUGUACUAUUGUUGAUGACUAUAACUUACCAGCCCUUGGAUCUCUGUGGACUUGUGCUCACAUUUAUGGCUAGCAGUUUAUGGUUUUACACACCUCUUCUGCUGGACUUUGUGAUCUCAUAUCAAUGUUUUAUAAGUGCUGGCUUCAUUUUAAAUUUA